UACGGAGGGUGCAAGCGUUAUCCGGAUUCACUGGGUUUAAAGGGUGCGUAGGUGGGCAAGUAAGUCAGUGGUGAAAUCUCCGGGCUUAACCCGGAAACUGCCAUUGAUACUAUUUGUCUUGAAUACUGUGGAGGUCAGCGGAAUAUGUCAUGUAGCGGUGAAAUGCUUAGAUAUCGAGAGGAACACCUGCGGCGAAGGCGGGUUGCUGGGCUGACACUGACGCUGAAGCGCGAAAGCUAGGGGAGCGAACGGG
rnacentral:rRNA from 1 species